rnacentral:rRNA from 1 species
UACGAAGGGGGCUAGCGUUGCUCGGAAUUACUGGGCGUAAAGCGCACGUAGGCGGCUUUCUAAGUCGGGGGUGAAAUCCUGGAGCUCAACUCCAGAACUGCCUUCGAUACUGGAGAGCUUGAGUCCGGGAGAGGUGAGUGGAAUUCCCAGUGUAGAGGUGAAAUUCGUAGAUAUUGGGAAGAACACCAGUGGCGAAGGCGGCUCACUGGCCCGUAACUGACGCUGAGGUGCGAAAGCGUGGGGAGCAAACAGG